rnacentral:pre_miRNA from 1 species
GGUUUCCUCGGAGUUCCCUUGAACACUUCAUUGGCUAGCAAGCUCUAGAAUUGCAUUAGUCAUCUAUAUAUUAAUAAGAGCUGUAGAAGUAUUUCAUAGACCACUGAAGUGUUUGGGGGAACUCUCAGGCUGAC